GGUGGCCCAAGUGGUUUGAGCAUCUGCCUUGGAUGUUGGAGGUCAUGGGUUCGAACCCUGGCAAAAUCA